CCUACGGGUGGCAGCAGUGAGGAAUAUUGGUCAAUGGGCGGAAGCCUGAACCAGCCAAGUAGCGUGCAGGAUGACGGCCCUACGGGUUGUAAACUGCUUUUAUACGGGAAUAACGCGCCUUACGUGUAGGGCUUUGCAUGUACCGAAUGAAUAAGGACCGGCUAAUUCCGUGCCAGCAGCCGCGGUAAUACGGAAGGUCCGGGCGUUAUCCGGGUUUAAUGGGUUUAAAGGGGGCGUAGGCCGCAUGUCAAGCGUGCUGUGAAAUGUCCGGGCUCAACCCGGGCCUUGCAGCGCGAACUGGCGUGCUUGAGUCCGCGGAAAGCAGGCGGAAUUCGUCGUGUAGCGGUGAAAUGCUUAGAUAUGACGAAGAACCCCGAUUGCGAAGGCAGCUUGCUGCAGCGGAACUGACGCUGAUGCUCGAAAGCGCGGGUAUCGAACAGGAUUAGAUACCCUUGUAGUC
rnacentral:rRNA from 1 species